AUUUUGCUACUAUAGUAAAAUGAUUACGUUUGCCUUCCAAGUGAAAGUUUCGGCAGAAUA
rnacentral:tRNA from 1 species